rnacentral:tRNA from 2 species
UGUCCGAUGGUGUAACUGGCAACACGUCUGAUUUUGGUUCAGAAGAGUCCAGGUUCGAUCCCUGGUCGGACAA